rnacentral:rRNA from 1 species
UACAGAGGGUGCGAGCGUUAAUCGGAAUUACUGGGCGUAAAGCGUGCGUAGACGGCUAUCUAAGUCGGGUGUGAAAGCCCCGGGCUCACCUGGGAAUUGCAUUCGAGACUGAAUAAGCUAGGGUACGGUAGAGGGAAGUGGAAUUUCCGGUGUAGCGGUGAAAUGCGUAGAUAUCGGAAGGAACAUCAGUGGCGAAAGCGACUUCCUGGACCAGUACCGACGUCAGGCACGAAAGCGUGGGGAGCAAAC